UACGUAGGGCGCAAGCGUUGUCCGGAAUUAUUGGGCGUAAAGAGCUCGUAGGCGGCUUGUCACGUCGGGUGUGAAAGCCCGGGGCUUAACCCCGGGUCUGCAUUCGAUACGGGCUAGCUAGAGUGUGGUAGGGGAGAUCGGAAUUCCUGGUGUAGCGGUGAAAUGCGCAGAUAUCAGGAGGAACACCGGUGGCGAAGGCGGAUCUCUGGGCAACAACUGACGCUGAGGAGCGAAAGCGUGGGGAGCGAACAGG
rnacentral:rRNA from 1 species